UGACGUCAAGUCAUCAUGGCCCUUACGAGUAGGGCUACACACGUGCUACAAUGGCGCAUACAAAGAGAAGCGACCUCGCGAGAGCAAGCGGACCUCAUAAAGUGCGUCGUAGUCCGGAUUGGAGUCUGCAACUCGACUCCAUGAAGUCGGAAUCGCUAGUAAUCGUAGAUCAGAAUGCUACGGUGAAUACGUUCCGGGCCUUGUACACACCGCCCGUCACACCAUGGGAGUGGGUUGCAAAAGAAGUAGGUAGCUUAACUUCGGGAGGGCGCUUACCACUUUGUGAUUCAUGACUGGGGUGAA
rnacentral:rRNA from 1 species